rnacentral:rRNA from 1 species
AGUGAACGCUGGCGGCAGGCCUAACACAUGCAAGUCGAGCGGCAGCGGGCUGUAGCAAUACAGUGCCGGCGAGCGGCGGACGGGUGAGGAAUACAUCGGAAUCUACCUUGUCGUGGGGGAUAACGUAGGGAAACUUACGCUAAUACCGCAUACGAACUACGGUUGAAAGCGGAGGACCGCAAGGCUUCGCGCGAUUGGAUGAGCCGAUGUCGGAUUAGCUAGUUGGCGGGGUAAUGGCCCACCAAGGCGACGAUCCGUAGCUGGUCUGAGAGGAUGAUCAGCCACACUGGAACUGAAACACGGUCCAGACUCCUACGGGAGGCAGCAGUAGGGAAUAUUGCGCAAUGGGCGAAAGCCUGACGCAGCCACGCCGCGUGAGUGAAGAAGGCCUCGGUGUAAG